GUGGUCUUCCGGUGUCAUACA
rnacentral:miRNA from 9 species